UACAGAGGUCUCAAGCGUUGUCCGGAAUCAUUGGGCGUAAAGAGCGUGUAGGCGGUCCGGUCAGUCGGUUGUGAAAGUCAAGGGCUCAACCCUUGAAUGCCGGCCGAUACUGCCGGGCUAGAGUCCGGAAGAGGUGAGUGGAAUUCCUGGUGUAGCGGUGAAAUGCGCAGAUAUCAGGAGGAACACCGAUGGCGAAGGCAGCUCACUGGGACGGUACUGACGCUGAGACGCGAAAGCGUGGGGAGCAAACAGG
rnacentral:rRNA from 1 species